rnacentral:rRNA from 1 species
UACGUAGGGUGCGAGCGUUGUCCGGAAUUAUUGGGCGUAAAGAGCUUGUAGGCGGUUUGUCGCGUCUGCUGUGAAAUUUCGGGGCUUAACCCCGAACUUGCAGUGGGUACGGGCAGACUAGAGUGUGGUAGGGGAGACUGGAAUUCCUGGUGUAGCGGUGAAAUGUGUUGAUAUCAGGAGGAACACCCAUGGCGAAGGCAGCAAACUGGGCAUCAUCUGACGCUGAGGCUCGAAAGCGUGGGUAGCAAACAGG